GAGGGUAAGAUUUACCCACGAUAUGGCAGCACAGGAGAAAAUGUGAAAGUGUCCAGCGUUUUCUAUAAAUAAUAGUUCAAAAACCUUUCAGAAUGGCGCUGGUGAACGUAGUAGGUAGAGCACUAUAGAUAUGAGUACUCUCAUCCGCCAUUUUCAGUCCUACAUAGAAGACACGAGUUGGUUUUGUAUAGUAAACACGUUUGUUGACAUCAAGCGAGAUUGAAUUAUUUAUUGAUAAUUGUAUUAAAUUUCAUUAACAAAAUUAUUUGAUAGUUGAUGUUAGUACUUAACCUUUCUAUUUUUAACAUUAAAAGAUAGAUUAAACUACAAAAUACUAUUCAGUGAUUGAUUUAUAAACAUAGAUAACCUCUCUAUUUGGAACGUUUCAGUAAUAAUUUGAUGAAAAGUAUGCCAGUAAAAAAAGAAGACAACAACAAAARAUCAGUCGCUGCUAAAAGCAAAAUGRAGUAUGAAAGUGAAAUAAAAUCUGUUGACGAAGAGACCAUUAUGUCUUUGCUUGCUGAAAAUUUAUCUAUAUGAAAAUCUAUGAGGGCUCAAAUAGAGAGAAUGAAUGCAAUUUUAAAAGAAUAUAAAUCGUAUUCAGCAGCUUCAGAAUAUUUAAGCAAAUACAAUGUUUCAUAAUCAUGAACUUAAUUAAACAUGGUAAAAAUUGUAUAUAUUU